GGGGUCGUAGUUCAAUUGGUUAGAGCGCCGGCCUGUCACGCCGGAGGUUGCGAGUUCGAGCCUCGUCGACCCCG
rnacentral:tRNA from 1 species